UUAACCCAUUUUUUAAACCAUUUUAUUCUUUGUUUAAAAACAACCCUAAAUUUUGAGAACCCCCACCUUUUGCUCACCCCUCUGCUCCUCGCCGAAAGGCUUAUGCCAAGCCUUCAACUUCUCCGAAAACUGCUUGCGACCAACGAAGUAGGGCCCUCCAGUGGUGAGAGCGCGACGCAACUCCGGUUGUGAAGACGUCGGAGCGGAGCACACGAACGUGGGGUGUGCAACGCGCAAGCCAGGGUCAUGCGUGGAGCGUGCGUGGGGCUGCUGCGCAAAAGGGGAACUUUAGGGUUUCUGAAACCCUAAAAAUUUGGGCCUAUCGGGCCGUUGUAAAAUUUUGGGCUUGUAAACCGAACCUAUUUGAUGGACUAUUUAAUUUUUGUGUUUGAUUUUGGUUUCCCUAUGGGCCGGGCAAAAUUCGGGUCUUACACCUACCAUAAAAUUAAAUAUAUUUUGCUUUUUCAUUAAAAAA